CGGUUUUGGAUGAUCCUUCGCAACAUCCCUGUCAGUAUCCUAGAGCUCUUCCCCAGGUUUGCAUCUGUUUCUCUAAGCCUUUCCCGAGCACGCUGGAUCUUCUCUCUGUCAUGGCUGAGGUUUUCCAGCAUCUCCUGUCCAAUCUGCUCGGUUUCCACUGCUAUUUGGUAUCCAGCCUCUAGUCUCCGAGAUGACCUUUCCAGCCUCUCUGUGUUAUCGAGCAGAUGUGCCCUCUGGUUCUCUGAGGAAUUCCCGUCAUCCCCUAGGAGCUCAUUCCGCACCUCAUCACUGUAGGCGAUCCGUGACCUUUUGAAGUCAGCUUCAAGUUUUCCCAUUUCUUGUUUGUAGCUUCUCAUCCGACUGCUGUACAUUCCCCGACUUUGAGGUGGGAUCUCUCGAACUUCCAGCUCCAUCUGCUCAAGCAGUUCCCUUGCUUCUUCAAGCUGCUUCUCAAUAUUUGCAACCAUCUGCUUCUUCUCAUCUCCGAGCAGCUUGGGCACCCGGCCGAUCCUGCCCGUGAUGUCGGCCGUCAGCACGGCGAAGUCCUGCUCGUAGCUCUCGAAGUCGGACGACAUGGCCGCGCCGUGGGGUCGGCCCGGCGGGACGCCGCGCUCCGCCGCUCCCCGCGAAGCCGCUUCCGCGUUCUGCUCCCCGCAAAGCCGUC
rnacentral:lncRNA from 1 species